rnacentral:rRNA from 1 species
AACGCGAAGAACCUUACCCAGACUUGACAUGCAGUGGACAGGUCCAGAAAUGGACUCUUCCUUCGGGACCGCUGCACAGGUGCUGCAUGGCUGUCGUCAGCUCGUGCCGUGAGGUGUUUGGUUAAGUCCAGCAACGAGCGCAACCCUUAUCAUUAGUUGCCAACAUUUCGGAUGGGAACUCUAAUGAGACUGCCUGGGUUAACCAGGAGGAAGGUGAGGAUGACGUCAAGUCCGCAUGGCCCUUACGUCUGGGGCUACACACGUGCAACAAUGGCCGGUACAGAAGGCAGCAAGACCGCAAGGUGGAGCAAACCCUUAAAGCCGGUCCCAGUUCAGAUUGUAGUCUGCAACUCGACUACAUGAAGUUGGAAUUGCUAGUAAUGGCGUGUCAGCUACAACGCCGUGAAUACGUUCCCGGGCCUUGUA